UUGAAAGGGAAACGAUUGAAGUCAGUCGUACCUAUGGGUAAUCAGCCUUUUGGGUGUGAUUUUGUGGAGCGUGGGGAGUUAAACGCCUUCAUGCCUGCAUAUUCGUGCACUUUGGGUGUACUUGCCCGUGUGUAAGUUAACAUCAAUUUUGGUGGUCAUAAAAUGGCUGGAGGAAUGUAGCUUCGAUCUUGUAUUGAAGUGUUAUAGCCUUCGGUAGAUGUGACGAUCGGGAUUGAGGAUUGCAACGGAUACCCUUCGGGGCUACCUGUCUGAUCUCUGAUUGUUGCUCUGGUGCCGAAAGCUUGCUUACGGUUAUCAAAGUCGAUGGUCAAUAGGUUAGAAUGGGUAAAUUCGUUAAGGA
rnacentral:rRNA from 1 species